CGGUCGACGGCGGCCUCAGCGGGUGGUCAACGACACUUGCAGCUGGUGCUCUACCCAUGGAUUCCGGCAAAGCUCGAAAUGCUCAGGACAAAUUAGGCCUCGGCCAAUGGUGGAGAAGACAGAGUACAGGGACGAGCCGCUGGAGCACGUGUUCAUGGGAUGUUCGUGCGCAAGAUGCAGAAGUUCGCCGGAAGGAAGAAGAGUGGGCCGGCGAGGAUGAGGAGAAGGAGGGAUGCGAGGUGCUUGCACGCGCAGCAGCAGGAGGUCGUCCGUGAGGUGCUCCUCUGGAUGCUCCCUUCCGGCGCUGGGCCUAGGUGUUCAACGCCGCCCUCACCAUCCCCUUCUUCCAUUGGCUCAUCAUCCCGUCAGAGGUCGAGAUCUAAUACUCCACACUGCCUCCCAUCAAUUUUCAGAUAUAUACAAGGUUUAUCAUCACCCCAUGGAUCAUGUGUUGUUGAUUAACCAGGUUAUUGAGGUGGAGGUCAACGGUGUGAGGCGGAGAAGUGGAGUGCUCAUAAAGAAACACAUGUGUGGCUGCAGGUCAAGUUGUCAAGUUGAUCUGGUGCUUGCUUGAGCCGUUGAUUACUGCUGCUUUGCUAAGGUUCAACGUCUUACUACAUGAGAAAUUUAUUCCAAUGCUUUCUCAAUCCCUUUACCAUGAUGACUACCAGUGGAACCUUCAAUGUGUAUAGAUGGUGAUUGAUAUGGGGACACACAAGAACUAGCGAACUUAAUACCAGAUGCCCUCAACUAUGAAUUCUUUAAUUAUUGGAGGCUUUCAUAUUCAUAUCAAUACAAGUUUGCAGUGUGAUGUUCCGUGAUUCCGGAUCGGGCGCACCUCGUUGUCGUGGAGAGCAUGAGUGGCUGGGUCUUCAUGGUGGGGUGGUCUGCAGGGGAGGGAAGGUUGCUGACGACAGGGGGAAGGAGGAGGCCGACGAGGAGGGUAAACAACAGGGUUAAGGGGCACAGCGAGCCCAGCAGGGGAAAAAGCAGGGCGAGCGAC